CGGGAAGGUUCCGAGGGCGGCCGCGGGGGCCGCGCCGCCGCCUCAGGGCCCUGUCACGGGCGAGCGGCCGGCCUUCCCCUCGCGGAGGCGGGCAGCCGCGGGGCGAGGGGCCGGCCUCGCAGCACGGCCCGGCGUGCUGGAAUUGCGGUGUCUGCGGGUUGGAGCUCGAGUGGUUGGCAACCAGGAAAGGGCACGAUUUCCACACUGCAGGGAAAGAUUUGGAAGGAGACCGUAAAAAAUGGCCUACUGAGUGGUGUUUUCAGCGAGACACUGGCCCAGUCUGCCCCUGCGUCCCACUGCCCCUGCUGUCAUCCUGGCCUUGUCUUACCUCUGCCUCGCGCUGGGACUCGAGGGCACCUUUGUGUCACAGCCUCCCCUGCUUGCCAGUCUGUCAUUUCAUCUUAAUCUCUUGGAUGCCAUCACUCCCACCCCCCGUGGUGUGGCACAAAUGAAGUUAAAUGAGGCAAGUAGGCUGUUCCAUAGAUGAAUAUAAGGACAUGCCAGGAAUUAAUACAAUACCAAGAAUUAAGACACUUGAAGGCUACCCACAGAGGUCAAGUUCGGAAGAAAUGAAUGGCUGAAAGGUUUAUACAGUAGUCUUUGAACACAAGUGAUCGUGGUAUGUGCAGAAUCAGCAGAGCACCCAGCAGAGCUGCAGCACUUGCAGGCUGUGGGCUGGCCUGAGCACAGCAGCCAGCUGGGCUGUCCCCCAGUGCAGUGGGGUGUGCUGCAUCCUUUCCAUCCUUUCCCAUGGAGGGCUUUCACAGUGGGAAGCUCUGAAGUCACCCUCUGCUCCCAGGGCAACCAGGUACUUCUGCACUACGCUUGCAGCAGGUUGAGCUCUGGGUAAAUGGACCUCUGCUAUGAACUUCUCAGAGCUUUUCUAAAAGGCUAUUUUUUUCACUACAGGUGUCACAAAGUUGGUGAGUGAGUCUGAGUUUGACCCCGAGAAAGCAAGAUGCAGGUUUUGAAGCUGUACUUGUUAGAGAAUGGUGUCAUUUUUUUCAUUUCCUAAUUGGGUAGGCACAAGCGUAAGGUGUCUCAGUGAAUAUUUGUGCCUUGCAUCUCUUAAAAGAGCACUAGGAGGGUGUGCUGAAACAGAGCUAAAGAAAUGAUAUAUUAUUGAUUCUGAAGAACCCAAUCUGCCAUUGUUUCAGACUUCCUUGGAUUCGGCUUCAACAGUUGCUCUUCAGUGUGGUGCUGAUCUCAUCCAACCAAAUGUUUGGGUAGCUGGCAGAUGGCAUUGUUUGUAUCUGAGGUAAAGCUGAUGUAAAGUUUGGAGUGAUUUUCUUAUUGCUAAUACUUUAUCCUUGCCAUUCAGCAAUUUACACUAGAGGCUUAGAGAGAACUCCAUGUGACACAGCCCAUCUAAGAACAGAGCUGGAACUGAGAUGCUAAAAUAAAAGCAGUUAUUGAAAGCUAGUCAAAUAACAUCUGCAGAGAAUUUUCUGCCCUAUCUCUGCUGUGCAGCUACAUCUCUUGUGGAGCAGUUGCAGCUAAUAAAUACGGUGCAGGAAUACUACAGACGUCCUUGUUUUCCAAGGAUACAGAGAUAAAUGCAGAUAAACAUGAAAUACAAUUAUCCAGCUUGGAAAUGGGUUGCCACGCAAUUCUUAUUGCCUUUCCUUUGGAGAAUUUUACAGAAACAGACCUUCUACUUGCAUCCUCUGAUAGAAGAUAGCACCUCCCAUAGCCUAAUACACAUUAGCAGCCCUCAGAAGCUUUUGUUCAUUAUUGACAGAAAGAGAAUGUCCUUGCUGCCUACUGAAUCGCUGACUGACAGGGCUGCGAGGUUUUCCCUAGCUGAGGCUUUUUGGCAGUUGACUGAUGAGCAAAACCUCUCGGCCAGCCCUGAGCGAUUCCAGGGGUGCCCCUGCUGUGACUGGCAGCUGCGGGGUUCUGCUUUUACAGGGCAGGCGACAGAGGCCUCCUGGCUGGGCAGCAGCUGGAGCCUGUGGUGGCUGUGCCAUGCCUGUUGGCUCACAUCCUGGUUUCUGUCCUGAGCUUGUGGGACUUGGCAGUUAUCUUGGUUUCUGUUUCUGGCCAUGGGUCCUUGGCAGUAUAACCUCGCUCCAGCCCUUGGUCCUAACAAGUGGGCAAGAUUGGUUGCACAGCCUGAGGCUGGCACUUCAAUCUGCUCUCAGCCCACAUAGUUACAGGGUUGUAGUGGUAAAUCCCUGGUUGAUUGUUGGUCUGCACAUCUAAUCCUUUGUGUUUUCAGCUGCUAGCGGUGUUUGCCUUUCCUGUUGCAAUUUUUCAUGCCUUUCAUGCUGAUUUCAGAGAUGAUUCCUACAAACUGGAGAAAAAGUAAAAUUGCAGUUCUUAUGCAAGACAUUCAAUUUAAUGAAUAUCUUCUAUUGAUUA